AACGAACGCUGGCGGCAGGCCUAACACAUGCAAGUCGAGCGAAUCCUUCGGGGUUAGCGGCGGACGGGUUAGUAACGCGUGGGAACGUGCCCAAAGGUACGGAAUAGCCCCGGGAAACUGGGAGUAAUACCGUAUGUGCUCUACGGAGGAAAGAUUUAUCGCCUUUGGAUCGGCCCGCGUUGGAUUAGGUAGUUGGUGGGGUAAUGGCCCACCAAGCCGACGAUCCAUAGCUGGUUUGAGAGGAUGAUCAGCAACACUGGGACUGAGACACGGCCCAGACUCCUACGGGAGGCGGCAGUGGGGAAUCUUAGACAAUGGGGGAAACCCUGAUCUAGCCAUGCCGCGUGAGCGAUGAAGGCCUUAGGGUUGUAAAGCUCUUUCAGCUGGGAAGAUAAUGACGGUACCAGCAGAAGAAGCCCCGGCUAACUCCGUG
rnacentral:rRNA from 1 species